rnacentral:piRNA from 1 species
GCGUGCAGCGUGUUCCCUAUUCACCAAGA